rnacentral:rRNA from 1 species
UUUAUGGAGAGUUUGAUCCUGGCUCAGGAUGAACGCUGGCGGCGUGCCUAAUACAUGCAAGUCGAGCGAACGGACGAGAAGCUUGCUUCUCUGAUGUUAGCGGCGGACGGGUGAGUAACACGUGGAUAACCUACCUAUAAGACUGGGAUAACUUCGGGAAACCGGAGCUAAUACCGGAUAAUAUUUUGAACCGCAUGGUUCAAAAGUGAAAGACGGUCUUGCUGUCACUUAUAGAUGGAUCCGCGCUGCAUUAGCUAGUUGGUAAGGUAACGGCUUACCAAGGCAACGAUGCAUAGCCGACCUGAGAGGGUGAUCGGCCACACUGGAACUGAGACACGGUCCAGACUCCUACGGGAGGCAGCAGUAGGGAAUCUUCCGCAAUGGGCGAAAGCCUGACGGAGCAACGCCGCGUGAGUGAUGAAGGUCUUCGGAUCGUAAAACUCUGUUAUUAGGGAAGAACAUAUGUGUAAGUAACUGUGCACAUCUUGACGGUACCUAAUCAGAAAGCCACGGCUAACUACGUGCCAGCAGCCGCGGUAAUACGUAGGUGGCAAGCGUUAUCCGGAAUUAUUGGGCGUAAAGCGCGCGUAGGCGGUUUUUUAAGUCUGAUGUGAAAGCCCACGGCUCAACCGUGGAGGGUCAUUGGAAACUGGAAAACUUGAGUGCAGAAGAGGAAAGUGGAAUUCCAUGUGUAGCGGUGAAAUGCGCAGAGAUAUGGAGGAACACCAGUGGCGAAGGCGACUUUCUGGUCUGUAACUGACGCUGAUGUGCGAAAGCGUGGGGAUCAAACAGGAUUAGAUACCCUGGUAGUCCACGCCGUAAACGAUGAGUGCUAAGUGUUAGGGGGUUUCCGCCCCUUAGUGCUGCAGCUAACGCAUUAAGCACUCCGCCUGGGGAGUACGACCGCAAGGUUGAAACUCAAAGGAAUUGACGGGGACCCGCACAAGCGGUGGAGCAUGUGGUUUAAUUCGAAGCAACGCGAAGAACCUUACCAAAUCUUGACAUCCUUUGACAACUCUAGAGAUAGAGCUUUCCUCUUCGGGGGACAAAGUGACAGGUGGUGCAUGGUUGUCGUCAGCUCGUGUCGUGAGAUGUUGGGUUAAGUCCCGCAACGAGCGCAACCCUUAAGCUUAGUUGCCAUCAUUAAGUUGGGCACUCUAAGUUGACUGCCGGUGACA